GUCAUUCGUGCGUGAUACUCUAUUUUGCCAUUUCAACUCUUUUUCUUUUACUUUCAACUUUUUGAUUAUUUGCCUACCAAGCCCUUCUCCUUCCCCCUCCCACUUUCCACAAUUCCAUUUAAAUUAUUUAUUUUCAAGCGUGAUACUGUUAUGAUUAACUAAACCCUUUUAGCCUUAGCCCAGUUAUCGCUUCGACAAAGUAAUCGUGUGAUA
rnacentral:lncRNA from 1 species